GGGGAGUUCAGGGCUCAAUAUGCGAGGGACAUUUUCGGUGUGAAACUGCAGGUAAGUUUGUUGUACCCCGCUAACUAUUCCAAACGCAACACCGUUGAAUGCUGUAUGAUACUCAAAGCUUGGUGUAGGAAUCUCAGGAGUAGGAUAUGCAAAACACAAAAGGAAAGAAAGACUAGCCCAAAAUGUUGUAACACUCUGCCCGGAAACAACAAAAUCAUCGACAUGUCCAUGGACAAUCAGCCAAAAGGUCAGGAUGACAAGCCCAAUGCCAAUUCCGGCCACAACAUCGAUCAAGCUGUGCAUUCCCAAAUAUAUUCUACCUAUAGCAAUUAAUGCAACAAGAAGAAAAACAGCACUGAAUCCAAUCCAAAUUGAGAAACCAUCUCUUUCAACCCCGCUCAUGAAGACAUAGUGCAGCAAAUAUCCAGAGAGGCAGACGGUAUUGAGAGCAUGUGAAGAUGGCAUGCCGUACUCCAUCGCAUUCUCCUUCUCGUCUUCGGUCUCAGUCACCCUCCUCACCGGAGGAGAACUCGGCCUCGGAGCCGACACAAUAUCCUUAAUACAAUUGCCAAUGUAAUCCGAAAAUGCAAUCAGCAAAGUCAUCUGUCUGGCCAAUUUGACAUGCCCACUCCAGAACAGAAGAGGGAGGAAUCCGGUGUAGAACGGAACAGAAACGAGACAGGAGAUGAGAGAGAAGAGUUGAUCCAGCGAACCAUGUUGAAUUCUCUGGAGGCGGAGAAUGAGAGGGGUGUCGGCGGC
rnacentral:misc_RNA from 1 species